CGACAGACGGCAUAGAUGGUGAUACAUCCGUCGGUAACUCCAGUGAACAAAUCGAAGGCCGAUUCAAGGUGUUCUUGGGUAGCCGGUUGAAGGGGGGUUGGAUCCGAUUUUGGCGUAUACUGUGGGUGCUGAGAUUGAACAGUUGCAGUGGUCGUCUUCGCAACCGGAUUGGGUUGUUAUUGCUUUUGGGUCGAAGCAGCAGAUUCUGAAGGAUUUGAAGCCUAUUUGGUUGGUGGUUGUGUGAGGGAUUUACUUCUAAACAGACCGCCCAAAGAUUUUAAUGUUAUUACUAUCAGGUUUUCCUUUUCUAAAACUUAAAAGGUUUCCUCUAUGUAGAGUGCAUAUAAAGGGAUCAGUUAUCGAGGUCUCCAGCUUUAAGACGUUGGCGAAAGAUUCUGAAGAAAAAGAAAAAUUUCUCGUAUCUCAAAUGCCUAGAGGCUGUGACAAGUUUGACCUUAAUCUCUGGAAAAACUCUAUGCAUCGUGACUUCACUGUUAACAGCUUGUUCUUUGACCCUCUAAACUGCAAGAUAUAUGAUUACAACAAUGGAAUGAAAGACAUACUGGAGCUAAAGCUACGAACAUUAGUACCUGCUCAUGUGUCAUUCACAGAGGACUGUGCAAGAAUUCUUCAAGGACUGAGAAUUGCGCUCGUCUUGGAUUAUCAUUAUUUUCAAAGGAUAUCGAAUCCGCAAUUCAUAAACACGCGUCAUCUAUUUUGAGUUUAAGGACGUUUAGGAUAAUGAUGGAGAUAGAUUAUAUGCUUUCAUACGGGGCUGCAGAAUCUUCGCUCCGUCUACUCCAUAUAUUUCACAUUCUCAAGAUUUUGCUACCAAUUCAGAAAUUGUUCUCUCAUAUGGAUGAGUUUGUUAGUUGUGAUCAGCCAUCCACGUGUUAUGGAUUGGACUUUUGUGCACAAGGAAAACACCAAGUGGUUCAGGAUGAGACGGUUCGUGACGAGCAACUGGGUAUUUAUUUCG